GUAGUAUUUGAAAUAAUUAUGCUCUUUGUUACAGGCUGGAGGUGCCAAGCGGAAACAAGAUGGAAGAAAAGAAAUGCAAGGCUAGCAUAGGGACAAUGCAUUAGCAGAAUAUCUAAUAGCAAAAAAGAGACUUGACUUGGAAAAUAAAGAAAAGGAGAUUGUUGUAGCAAAACUUAAGUUAGAUUUAGAUAAUGCUAGAUUAAAAAAUUAAAAAUUACUUAAAAGGAAUAUUAAAUUUCAUAAAUUAAGUAGGCAAUAAUAAUUUUAUGUUAGAUAGUUUUUUAAGUAUAUGUACUAAUUCUAAAUUAAAUAUCUUGCAUGUACUAACUACUAUGUAAUUAUUAUUUUGGAAAAUAAAAAAUAGUCAAAUUA